GACGAACGCUGGCGGCGUGCUUAACACAUGCAAGUCGAACGGACAGGCCCUGCUUUUGUGGGGUGCUCGAGUGGCGAACGGGUGAGUAACACGUGAGUAACCUGCCUUUACUUUGGGAUAACUUCAUGGAACUUGGGCUGAUACCGGAUAGGGGCUCCUGCAGCCUGGUGGGGGGUGGAAGAUUUCGGCGGUUGGGGAUGGACUCGCGGCUUAUCAGCUUGUUGGUGGGGUAGUGGCUUACCAAGGCUUUGACGGGUAGCCGGACUGAGAGGGGGACCGGCAACAUUGGGACUGAGAUACGGCCCAGACGCCUACGGGAGGCAGCAGUGGGGAAUAUUGCACAAUGGGCGGAAGCCUGAUGCAGCAACGCCGCGUGCGGGAUGACGGCCUUCGGGUUGUAAACCGCUUUCGCCUGUGACGAAGCGUGAGUGAGGGUAAUGGGGAAAGAAGCACCGGCGAACUACGU
rnacentral:rRNA from 1 species